rnacentral:rRNA from 1 species
GAUGAACGCUGGCGGCGUGCCUAAUACAUGCAAGUCGAGCGAAUGGAUUGAGAGCUUGCUCUUAUGAAGUUAGCGGCGGACGGGUGAGUAACACGUGGGUAACCUGCCCAUAAGACUGGGAUAACUCCGGGAAACCGGGGCUAAUACCGGAUAACAUUUUGAACCGCAUGGUUCGAAAUUGAAAGGCGGAUUCGGCUGUCACUUAUGGAUGGACCCGGGUCGCAUUAGCUAGUUGGUGAGGUAACGGCUCACCAAGGCAACGAGGCGUAGCCGACCUGAGAGGGUGAUCGGCCACACUGGGACUGAGACACGGCCCAGACUCCUACGGGAGGCAGCAGUAGGGAAUCUUCCGCAAUGGACGAAAGUCUGACGGAGCAACGCCGCGUGAGUGAUGAAGGCUUUCGGGUCGUAAAACUCUGUUGUUAGGGAAGAACAAGUGCUAGUUGAAUAAGCUGGCACCUUGACGGUACCUAACCAGAAAGCCACGGCUAACUACGUGCCAGCCGCCGCGGUAA